AUGAAAUUUCAAGGAUCUCUCCAUACUAAAAGAGAUAAGGAUCACCUAAAACAAGGUCGUCUUGUACAGUACUGUUUAUAUGACAAGUGGCUAAAGGGUCAAAGCUCAAGACCAGUGAGCAAAUCUAUUGUUUUGAACGCUGACGCUCCUAGUUGCCAAAAUCAAUCUAAACCUGCACUUUCAUCUUCUAAAGGAAUAGAAGUAUGUAGGAGUAUUUAUCUAGCAACUUGGGGGCACAAAGAGGAGUGCAUAAGUUCAAAGAAACUAUGGUGUAAUAGAUUGUUUCAUAGGAAGUGUCAAGAUUUACUGAGCAAUUGUGAACAGGUAUGGUCAAAUGUUCUAUAUUCAAAGUAG
rnacentral:rRNA from 1 species